GACGAACGCUGGCGGCGUGCUUAACACAUGCAAGUCGAACGACGUGGCGAACGGGUGAGUAACGCGUAAUCAACAUGCCCUUCAGAGGGGGACAACAGUUGGAAACGACUGCUAAUAGCGCAUAAUGAAGGAGGGGAUUGCGUCGGAUUAGCUAGUUGGAGUGGUAACGGCCCAACAAGGCGAUUAUCAGUAGCCGGUCUGGUAGGAUGAACUGCCACCUUGGGACUGAGACACGGCCCAGACUCCUACGGGUGGCAGCAGUGGGGAAUCUUCCGCAAUGUACGAAAGUCUGACGGAGCAACGCCGCGUUAGUGAUGACGGCCUUCGGGUUGUAAAGCUCUGUUAAUCGGGACGCGGUACCGGAAUAGAAAGCCACGGCUAACUACGUGCCAGCAGCCGCGGUAAUAC
rnacentral:rRNA from 1 species